UUCGCUACUUCACAGUUUCAUCAGAUUAAAUUUUGUAUCAUAUUAACCAUAUCGAUAGAUUCGUGUUGACUCUUGAGGUUUUUCUUUCUAAAAUAUUUUUGCAGAAAUCGUCUUUAAUAACUCAAAAAUUUAGCUAUGAAUCAUCGAUGCUUCCUAUUUGACAACUCUGUGGCUUCAUUUUCCCUGCAUGUUUUAUUUUUCUCCUACACAGGCACUAAGCCUUCCCCUUUCUGGAAAUUGACCCAGUCGUUUUUCACUUGUUCUUUCAUUCUCAUUUCUCACGUGCUCAAGACGGGCUUUCUCAUAUUUUGCAUCAGUCCUUUGCCAGCAUGCACUAAUAGUUGUUUCAUUAUCGGACAGCAAUGAUGUAAUAGAGCAUAUUGUAGCUCACAAUAACCGUCCAAGAUUCAGCCUCUCUCUGACAGCUCACCUAAUGUAUGGGAUCACAAGAAUCUGUUUGUACCAAACUAAGAGACUCCAUGGUGAGUGUUAUCUUUUUAAUUGCCGCCUUGUAAAUAUGAUCAAUCAAUCUGUUAAAUUAUGACUAAUUUCCAUUUACAUUUGUUAUUUAUUCUUAGAGGAGCUAUGCUCUUUCUGGACUGAUUAUAAUGUUCUUAGACUUAUUGAACUUGAUGCAGGUAAAAGAAAGCAAAGGUAUGCGAUAAAACAAUAAUUACUCAAUUUUAUUAUUAUAUAAAUUAUUAUUCAAACAGACUACAUGGUUUCUAAAGAAACAUUAAAUGCAUGAAGGAAAGAUGUUAUUUUUACCACUUCUACUGAAAAUGCUGCCAACAAUUAAAACUGUUCAGAUAGAAGUUGGCCAUCACAAACUUUGUACAACGGAUUUAUUUGAUUGAAUGAAAAAUGAUGAUGAUUAUUACUUAUAAUGCAACUUUUUUGAUAGUCGUCCAAAAAAAAAAAAACGGCUGCCAGACUUUGAUAUUUCAUUGCCACCUGCGGAGCCACCACAAUCUAUUCAUACCAUGAGCGUGGCCAAACCUUAUAUUACUAUGACUGAACCCAAUGAUAUAUCUACGGUGGUAAGUGAAUGUCACCAAACUUCAAAUCAUGUCAAUGCACUAAAUACACAAAAUGAAUGACCUGAAGAGUAUAUUUUAUAAGUAAAUAGUAUUUGCGUUGCUCUUCAUCAUUAUCAUGUCACUGAACAACGACCAUUCACCAUUGACCACUUUUCAUAUCAUACAAUAAUUGUUUCAAAAUAAUGGGACCUUAUAAGAUUUCCAAAGUUCAUCACAACCAGUUGAAGCACUUUUUCCAGGAUGGUGCAUGAGAUCAUGCUGAGCUUAUUUUAUGCUGAUUUUCAACAUUUCAUUCAACUCACACUGCCUGCUUUUUUGUACACGCAGCAAUCCAUCUUGGAUGAACCUUAUUUUGGUGCUUUAACAACCGAGGAGUUGGAUUUCAUGCUUCAACGUGACGGAUUACCAUUGUUAGUUCAUUACUUCUAAUCCUUACUUACAAUUAGUUGGUCCUACUAAAAUUUACUGUUUCGGUAUGGCCAGAUUUUAGUUCUGACUAUUUAAUAGUGAUCGCCGUUUUCUAAAAAAUGUCCUCUUAUCAAAACUAAAUGUAUUAACAUUAGAUAUCACGCAUACUAUCAAGGCAUAAAAAUAUCUGCAGGCCAAAGCCAUUUUACUUUGUCAACCAGUCGCGGGAAAACUUCAUUAAAGAGUUCACAUUGCUUACUAAAAAGUUGGGAGAAUUCAAUCAAAUUAUUGCUGUAUUGAUACCAUCUAAUGCAUCUGUGCCGUUGUUGAAUUGUGCCAUCUCUUGACUCUCAUUAACGUCAUUGUUCGUUCCAAUCGUAAUUUCCAACAUACAUAGUAGAUUUGCCAAAAUUCGAAAGUUAGCCCUAAUAAAUGUUUUUUUACAUUUUAAGGAACCUAUUUUGUCAGUGAUUAAAUAUCAUUUCGAUUUCACAGCGUUUUAUCACCAUCGCUUGCAGUCAGGUCAGUAACUGAACCUGUUCCAUCACCGAUAACCCCAGGAAUUCUAGGUGAAUCAAGGAUGCCUUCUCCAAUAAUACUUCCAGCUCCAGAUGGUUUUGGUCGCUGAUGGAGCUGAUGAAGUAGCAGCGGUCCCAAUUCUAGUUGAACAAUCUGCGACCGAACCUGCAUCAUCUGAAAGUAGCUUACAUUUGCAACCACUGGAAAUUGAAGCUUGUAGUCGUCCCAUCAAAACAAAGAAAAAGAGGAUAGUUGUAGACGAAUAUACAAGGUUGGAGAGGCCUUCAGAAGAUCCAUUUGUUCAUACCAGGAGUAAGCAAGACUACCCUCCAAUAUACGUAGUCAUGGCUGCUGCGGAGCUUCUAACAACUCCAUCAAAGGGGCAAAACUUAGCCAAGUGUUUACUCCUCAAUUACCAAAUGAUGAUGGUUCAACCCACAAUGGACGAGAAUAUAGCACGACGAGAGAAAGAAAAAAAGAAGAUCAAAUUGCCAAAACCUAUGCAACCUAUAGUUCGCCACCCAGACACAAGUGGAGAAACAACAGGAGGUUUCACCUCGGAGCAUGAAAUUGUAGCAAUUAUUUCACGACCGAAUGAUUCGGCAGUAGACCGAACAAAGACUUUUGAAAUAAUUCCGAUCACUGAAAGAACAAUACUGCCUGGGCAACCCGAAGAGCCAUCAAUUGAGCGGGAGGAAACUCAUGAUACUGGUUUAUACCCAGUGCCUGAGUUACCUGGGGUGUCCGGACAACUUAAUGAAAUCCAAAUGAUUCGACCAGAAACAGUUCGAUUGUUUACUUAUCCCCAAAAACUCUGGGUAAAAGGAGACUUAAUUGCAACAUUGCGGGCUGGCUGGUCGGGUGGAAAAUUACUCACAUUCGAAGAUAUCUGUCCAGUGGCACUGUCCACAAAAAGUGAUGCCGCUAAGUUGUUUCAACUACUUCUUGGUUAGCAUACCAUAAUAAUUGAGCUUACUUUGGAUUUGAAAAGCCUGUAAUCAGUUACGUGGAUUAGAACAGUUUCUCAUAUUCAUUACACAUAUUUAUGUUUAAAGAUGGAACCUCUAAUAUAACUUAAAAGGUUGUCGUGUGUAUCAGAUAUUAGAGAUCUUGUCAAAAACCUUGUGGGAAACAUUGAAUGUUCGAGAUUAAUGGUUCAAAAUUAAAAUUUCUCCAAUUGCUAUAGAUCUAUAAUGUCAUUCUCAGUGAAUUGUUACACAGUGACAAGGAUUUGCAACUGAAGCAAGCAAUGCCAGAGUCACCAAUUUAUAUAUUACAAUAUUCUCCGGAAUAUUAAUUUUUUGCAAUAAAAAUUAUUCAGAGACGAUUUAUCAGUUGAUAUUUUUGCUAUUU